rnacentral:rRNA from 1 species
CCUACGGGGCGCAGCAGUGGGGGAUAUUGCACAAUGGGGGAAACCCUGAUGCAGCGACGCCGCGUGAGCGAUGAAGUAUUUCGGUAUGUAAAGCUCUAUCAGCAGGGAAGAAAAUGACGGUACCUGACUAAGAAGCCCCGGCUAAAUACGUGCCAGCAGCCGCGGUAAUACGUAUGGUGCAAGCGUUAUCCGGAUUUACUGGGCGUAAAGGGAGCGCAGGCGGCGCGCCAAGUCUGAUGUGAAACCCCGGGGCUCAACCCCGGGCAUGCAUUGGAAACUGGCGGGCUGGAGUGCCGGAGAGGUAA